rnacentral:miRNA from 1 species
UGAUUUUGUUGUUUUGAGUU